GUCGAACGGGUCUUUAGGGACAAGUGGCGGACGGGUGAGUAACGCGUGAGAAUGUGCCUUCAGGAUGGGGAUAACAAUAGGAAACUAAUGCUAAGACCCAAUGUGCCUUACGGGGUGAAAAAUGAAAAUUGCCUGAAGAGGAGCUCGCGUCUGAUUAGCUAGUUGGGGUGGUAAAAGCGCACCAAGGCGACGAUCAGUAGCUGGUCUGAGAGGAUGAGCAGCCACACUGGGACUGAGACACGGCCCAGACUCCUACGGGAGGCAGCAGUGGGGAAUUUUCCGCAAUGGGCGAAAGCCUGACGGAGCAAUACCGCGUGAGGGAGGAAGGCUCUUGGGUUGUAAACCUCAAAACUUAGGGAAGAAAAAAAUGACGGUACCUAAUAUAAGCAUCGGCUAACUCCGUGCCAGCAGCCGCGGUAAUACG
rnacentral:rRNA from 1 species